UCCACAAGUUUGGAGUUUUUUCCUGGUGCACACACGUGAGGAGAUUUAAGCAUGGGACUUUAAUAAAACCAUCCUGGAAACUUAAGGAUUGUUUUUCUUCUAAAUAUGUAAGAUGUGGCCGGGCUCAGUGGCUCAAGCCUGUAAUCCCGGCACUAUGGGAGGCCAAGGCGGGUGGAUCACCUGAGGUCAGGAGUUCGAGACCAGCCUGACCAACAUGGUGAAACCCUGUCUCUACUAAAAAUACAAAAAAUUAGCCGGGCAUGGUGGCGGGCGCCUGUAAUCCCAGGUAUUUGGGAGGCUGAAGCAGAAGAAUCGCUUGAACUUGGGAGGCGGAGGUUGCAGUGAGCUGAGAUCCCGCCAAUGUACUCCAGCCUGGGCAACAGUGCAAGACUCAGUCUCAAAAAAAAAAAAAGUAAGAUGGUGUGAUUUUUUUUUUUGGUCCUCUUAUUAUAUAUUUAUUCUACUGAACCUAUUUAUCGUUCUUUCACCCUUCUUUCACAAUCUGCAGACUCUAUAUUAAAAACACUCUAUCACUCU
rnacentral:lncRNA from 1 species